CAAAACCACAAGCAAAAGAGUU
rnacentral:sRNA from 1 species